GCAAACUUGGUCAUUUAGAGGAAGUAAAAGUCGUAACAAGGUUUCCGUAGGUGAACCUGCGGAAGGAUCAUUAUUGAAACUCAAAGGGGCUGCGGUGGUGGUCCUGCGCACCGGUGGCAACGCCGUUGUUGCGCGCCCCCCGCGCCUCAUCCACACUCAAACCCUUGUGCACCUUUGGGGGAAGGCGGGUUCGCGCCCGUCGGCCCCUUCAUUCACAGACUCUGUCUAUUAGAAUGUAACACGCGGCGAAAGCCGUUUGGAACUAUAAAACAACUUUCAACAACGGAUCUCUUGGCUCUCGCAUCGAUGAAGAACGCAGC
rnacentral:misc_RNA from 1 species